rnacentral:rRNA from 1 species
UUUAAAGGGCUGCAGUAUAUUGACUGUACAAAGGUAGCAUAAUCAAUAGUCUUUUAAUUGAAGACUUGUAUGAAUGAUUUGAUGAAAUAUAUACUGUCUCUUUUUUAAAAUUUAAAACUUAAUUUUUUAGUUAAAAAGCUAAAAUUUUUAUAAAAGACGAGAAGACCCUAUAGAGUUUUAUAAUUAUUUAUUUUUAUUUUAUAUAUAAAUAUUAAAAAUUAAAUAUAAAUAAUUAUUUUGUUGGGGUGAUAGAAAAAUUUAAUUAACUUUUUUUUAAAAUUUAACNUUAAUAUAUGAAUAUAUGAUCCAUGUUUUAUGAUUAAAAGAAUAAAUUACCUUAGGGAUAACAGCGUAAUUUUUUUUUUUAGUUCAUAUAAAAAAAAGAGUUUGCGACCUCGAUGUUGGAUUAAGAUAAAAUUAAAUGCAAAAGUUU